GUGCUCGCUUUGGCAGCAUAUAUACUAAAAUUAGAACGAUACAGACAAGAUUAGCAUGGCCCCUGCGCAAGGAUGAUACACAAAAUUUGUGAAGCGUUCCAUUAAAAA